GCAUAUCAAUAAGCGGAGGAAAAGAAACCAACAGGGAUUACCUCAGUAACGGCGAGUGAAGCGGUAACAGCUCAAAUUUGAAAUCUGGCCUCACGGUCCGAGUUGUAAUUUGUAGAGGAUGCUUCGAGCAUGGUCUGGCCUAAGUUCCUUGGAACAGGACGUCAUAGAGGGUGAGAAUCCCGUAUGCGGCCAGGUGCCUACGCUCAUGUGAAGCUCCUUCGACGAGUCGAGUUGUUUGGGAAUGCAGCUCAAAAUGGGUGGUAAAUUUCAUCUAAAGCUAAAUAUUGGCCAGAGACCGAUAGCGCACAAGUAGAGUGAUCGAAAGAUGAAAAGCACUUUGGAAAGAGAGUUAAACAGUACGUGAAAUUGUUGAAAGGGAAGCGCUUGCAACCAGACUUGCGCGCGGCCGAUCAUCCGGUGUUCUCACCGGUGCACUCGGCCGUGCUCAGGCCAGCAUCGGUUUUGGCGGCUGGAUAAAGGCCCUAGGAAUGUAGCUCCUCUCGGGGAGUGUUAUAGUCUAGGGUGCAAUGCAGCCUGCUGGGACCGAGGACCGCGCUUCGGCUAGGAUGCUGGCGUAAUGGUUGUAAGCGGCCCGUCUUGAAACACGGACC
rnacentral:rRNA from 3 species